rnacentral:rRNA from 1 species
CCUACGGGAGGCAGCAGUGGGGAAUAUUGGGCAAUGGAGGAAACUCUGACCCAGCAACGCCGCGUGAAUGAUGAAGGUCUUCGGAUUGUAAAGUUCUUUUCUAAGGGAAGAAGAAAGUGACGGUACCUUAGGAAUAAGCCUCGGCUAACUACGUGCCAGCAGCCGCGGUAAUACGUAGGGGGCAAGCGUUAUCCGGAUUUACUGGGUGUAAAGGGAGCGUAGACGGUGAGACAAGUCUGAAGUGAAAGCCCGGGGCUCAACCCCGGGACUGCUUUGGAAACUGCCUGACUGGAGUGCUGGAGAGGCAAGCGGAAUUCCUAGUGUAGCGGUGAAAUGCGUAGAUAUUAGGAAGAACACCAGUGGCGAAGGCGGCUUGCUGGACAGUAACUGACGUUGAGGCUCGAAAGCGUGGGGAGCAAACAGGAUUAGAUACCCGAGUAGUC